GACGAACGCUGGCGGCGUGCUUAACACAUGCAAGUCGAACGCUGAAGCUCAGCUUUUGUUGGGUGGAUGAGUGGCGAACGGGUGAGUAACACGUGAGUAACCUGCCCCCUUCUUUGGGAUAACGCCCGGAAACGGGUGCUAAUACUGGAUAUUCACUGGUCUUCGCAUGGGGGUUGGUGGAAAGGGUUUUUCUGGUGGGGGAUGGGCUCGCGGCCUAUCAGCUUGUUGGUGGGGUGAUGGCCUACCAAGGCUUUGACGGGUAGCCGGCCUGAGAGGGUGACCGGUCACAUUGGGACUGAGAUACGGCCCAGACUCCUACGGGAGGCAGCAGUGGGGAAGAUGGCACAAUGGGCGCAAGCCUGAUGCAGCGACGCCGCGUGAGGGAUGGAGGCCUUCGGGUCGUGAACCUCUUUCGCUCAUGGUCAAGCCGCAACAAUGGUUGUGGUGAGGGUAGUGGGUAAAGAAGCGCCGGCUAACUACGUG
rnacentral:rRNA from 1 species